UACCACUGCCAAGAUGGGAAAUCCUUGC
rnacentral:piRNA from 1 species